CAGCAUUUCAGAUGAUUGCCAGAAGGGCUCGUAUAGCCCGCUGGCUGGCUCGCUCGCCAGCCCCGACACGAACAUGUAAACGUUGAUGUCAAAUUCCCCGCGUCUCUGUACGCUCCAAAGCAGCACGUGGAUCGGAUUCAAUUCCCGAAGGGGCUCCCAGUGCGUGGAGUGAAACAUCGGACAUCGUGCCGAAGGACAUCAUCUCCUCGGCAGGCGGGAGGACAAUGACGCAAGGGCACCGCGCUUCACGGACAGAUUUAGUCUGCCAGUGGAGAAGCGACGUUGCUUUGUGCGAUCCCCCUGAAGAACGACCUGAAGAACCCUCGGGCUAAUGUUGCCGCCAACUGCUGCCCUCUCACCGAUCUACUCGGCGGCAGGGUAUGGGGCUCCAUACCUGGUAUGCGGGAGCUCGUGCCCAGAACAACCGCCAAAUGCGAUGUUAAACAACGCAACGCUCCACGUGGACUGAACACGGCUUGCGAACCUCAGUUUGGUUAGGCCUAGGCGCAGACAGUUGUAACUUGCUGUGCAGGCACGCUUUGGUAAUGAAUUCUGGAUACAUUCAGUUUGUGAUAGCGCCUAUGCAGAUGUCCAUCUGCUCCAUACUCUUAGUAUUUUUUCAUAAUGUGGUCAUUAGUAGAACAAACUUUCUGACUUCAGCUUGCUCGUGUGGGUGGCUGGCCUCUACAUUGUUCAUUAGUCAGUUCUGGAUUAACUUUGUGCACCAUGUAUGUACAUGUAAUAAAUAAAAACCUAAUUUGUCCAUAAAAAUAAAUUGAAACGCAAUGCGCAUCAUAAACGGACCACUGGAACCGCUGCCAAUCGCAUGGGCUCCCUGUUCUGGCGAGCAUCCUGCUGCCAAACAUCUGCGGAAGCGUUCGAAUUGCAAAGGAGUUCACACGUUUUCCUGCCAAUGAUAACCGAUACCCAUCGACCAAGACCUCGGCAAAUGUGUCUCUCCGCCAACUGGGAUCGCGCCGUCAACGAUUUUUAUAAUCUCACCCAGAGCCGGAAGAACAAAGGCAGACGUCUGGAUAAAACGCCUCAUUCGAGACACAAUCAUCGCACCUCCUGCCUUUGCAUUCCUCCUCCAAGACGCUGGCGGUUGUAACCAUUAAGUGCAUCGGAACAUCAACGGGCUGAAGCGCACAUCUCCUACGUGAAUGGAAAGUUAAAGGACGAGCCACAACUGGUGCGACUGUGGCCAUGCAACCCAAACUAUGGACCCAUAUGGUAAACCACUGUAGUCUGCGCUCUUCAAUUAAGCAAUAGCAAGGCACCACCACGAACUCUCUCGUGAGACCCUCUCGUGGCUAUCAGAUCUCUACAUUGGCAUUUAGCUCCUGAACAUAUUGCCAUCCGCCAGAAGAGACAACAAUGUAAUAUGUCUCGUCUAAUUGUUAAAAAUGUUGGACUGUGAGGACCGGCACACAGUGACCUACUCAUUUCAAACUUCACGAGGGUAUUUUUAAUGCCCACUAAGUAAUGGACAGCUUGGGUUCGUACGGUUAAUAUGGCCGCGGUAAUAACCACGGCGGCCUGCCGGAUUCGAACCACGAGCCUCUGCAACAAGAGGCGAAUGCGCUACGGCUCUGGGUUAGUUGGUGCCAGCUUUGUCUGGGUCAGAAGGGGAGGACUCCACAAAUUAGAUCUGGUCUUUCCGAUUGUUACCUGAUCAAUUGUUCUAUAGAUAAUCGGUUUUGGAUUUCUCAACUGGUCAGCAAAAAUGAAAAUAGUUGCGGAAAAAAACGUCUCACCGUGUUCCCAUUUGUGUCACUGGACAAGUUAUCGUGCCCCCCCUUUCUUUGUGUUUAGUUUAUAGGCCUUCCCCCGCACCUCCAAUUAGCGCGGUUGGCUUUCGUAAUGUGCGAAAGGAGUUUCGCAUACAUACGUACAUUAGGAAGCCAUUGGAGCUAUGCACUUCUAAAUCGAGAUUAAAAACUCAUUUUUUUCCAACUCCUUUUUGCGUUUAGUUGGUUU